rnacentral:tRNA from 1 species
GGGCAAUUGGUCUAGGGGUAUGAUUUUCGCUUCGCAUUCCGCAAGAUACGUUUGUGAAAGGUCGCCGGUUCGAAUCCGGCAUUGUCCA